rnacentral:rRNA from 1 species
GACGAACGCUGGCGGCGUGCUUAACACAUGCAAGUCGAACGAAGUGGCGAACGGGUGAGUAACGCGUAAUCAACCUGCCCUUCAGAGGGGGACAACAGUUGGAAACGACUGCUAAUACCGCAUACUGAAGGAGGGGAUUGCGUCUGAUUAGGCAGUUGGUGGGGUAACGGCCCACCAAACCAACGAUAAGUCGCCGGUCGGAGAGGAUGAACGGCACAACUGGAAAUGAGACACGGUCCAGACUCCUACGGGAGGCAGCAGUGGGGAAGCGUCCGAAAUGGACGAAAGUCUGACGGAGCAACGCCGCGGGAGUGAAGACGGCCUUCGGGUUGUAAAGCUCUGUGAUCCGGGACGCGGUACCGGAAAAGCAAGCCACGGCUAACUACGUGCCAGCAGCCGCGGUAAUAC